rnacentral:rRNA from 1 species
AACGACUCUCGACAACGGAUAUCUCGGCUCUCGCAUCGAUGAAGAACGUAGCGAAAUGCGAUACUUGGUGUGAAUUGCAGAAUCCCGUGAACCAUCGAGUCUUUGAACGCAAGUUGCGCCCGAAGCCACUAGGUCGAGGGCACGCCUGCCUGGGUGUCACGC